rnacentral:rRNA from 1 species
ACUCCUACGGGAGGCAGCAGUGGGGAAUAUUGGACAAUGGGGGGAACCCUGAUCCAGCCAUGCCGCGUGUGUGAAGAAGGCCUUAUGGUUGUAAAGCACUUUAAGCGAGGAGGAGGCUCUUUUGGUUAAUACCCAGAAUGAGUGGACGUUACUCGCAGAAUAAGCACCGGCUAACUCUGUGCCAGCAGCCGCGGUAAUACAGAGGGUGCAAGCGUUAAUCGGAUUUACUGGGCGUAAAGCGCGCGUAGGCGGCCAAUUAAGUCAAAUGUGAAAUCCCCGAGCUUAACUUGGGAAUUGCAUUCGAUACUGGUUGGCUAGAGUGUGGGAGAGGAUGGUAGAAUUCCAGGUGUAGCGGUGAAAUGCGUAGAGAUCUGGAGGAAUACCGAUGGCGAAGGCAGCCAUCUGGCCUAACACUGACGCUGAGGUGCGAAAGCAUGGGGAGCAAACAGGAUUAGAUACCCUGGUAGGAUAGCGU